rnacentral:rRNA from 1 species
AUUGAACGCUGGCGGCAUGCCUUACACAUGCAAGUCGAACGGCAGCACAGGAGCAAUCCUGGUGGCGAGUGGCGAACGGGUGAGUAAAGUAUCGGAACGUGCCCAGUCGUGGGGGAUAACGUAGCGAAAGUUACGCUAAUACCGCAUACGACCUAUGGAUGAAAGCGGGGGAUCGCAAGACCUCGCGCGAUUGGAGCGGCCGAUAUCCGAUUAGGUAGUUGGUGGGGUAAAGGCUCACCAAGCCGACGAUCUGUAGCUGGUCCGAGAGGACGACCAGCCACACUGGGACUGAGACACGGCCCAGACUCCUACGGGAGGCAGCAGUGGGGAAUUUUGGACAAUGGGCGAAAGCCUGAUCCAGCCAUGCCGCGUGCAGGAUGAAGGCCUUCGGGUUGUAAACUGCUUUUGUACGGAACGAAAAGGUUUGGCCUAAUAAGCUGAGCUCAUGACGGUACCGUAAGAAUAAGCACCGGCUAACUACGUGCCAGCCGCCGCGGUAA